rnacentral:rRNA from 1 species
CGCGUAGGAACCUGCCCAGUAGUGGGGGAUAGCCCGGUGAAAACCGGAUUAAUACCGCAUACGCUCUACGGAGGAAAGGGGGCUUCGGCUCUCGCUAUUGGAUGGGCCUGCGUGAGAUUAGCUAGUUGGUGAGGUAAUGGCUCACCAAGGCGACGAUCUCUAGCUGGUCUGAGAGGAUGAUCAGCCACACUGGGACUGAGACACGGCCCAGACUCCUACGGGAGGCAGCAGUGGGGAAUAUUGCACAAUGGGGGAAACCCUGAUGCAGCCAUCGCCGCGUGUGUAGAAGAAGGUCGUUUC